rnacentral:lncRNA from 1 species
UUUUGAUGCCUUGUGUUGGCUUGCUUGAACUUGUCUGAACUUAGUGAAUUUAAUUUCCAUACUUCCAUUGAUCCAAAUGAGCUGAAAAUUGAUAUGCUACUCAUUGAAUGUGUUCUGUUUAGGUUGGAAUUUUUGUGGAAUUUAUUGAGCUGUUUUGAUAUUGAUUUGAUUGUGAUCAUUCUGUUUGGUCUUUUGAAGUUGCAAAUAGCAUGCUUUGUGAUAUUUUGUUUAUAAAAUGAUGAUAAUGAAUGAGAUGAGCAUGG